CCCGUAUCUUUGCUCUGAUUGGUUGUAGGCAUAUCUAAUUGCAUCCAGAGGCAUUGUUGUCUGCGCCCCUUGGGGAUGCUUUUUGGAACUCUAACAUGAACCGAGAGGUUCCAUUGCAGUUUGCAAUUCGUCUGGCGAUGCAAGGCUAAAGUAGAACAGCUGGAGUGUAAAAUUGGUCAUUGUGAAACGCCUUCUGUUGUAAAAUACUCAAUUUGACUGGUUUAUUACAAACAUAAAUUUUAUCAGCUUGGUAAGUCUCCUAAAUAAACACAGUAUACGGUUUUACAUCAGAAUGUAUCACUCUUUGUUGGUGAUACUACUAUUCUGCUAUGCAUUGAGAGAGUUGUCGACUGUAAACUCCCAUAUCAACGUAAAUAUAAUGUAACCUAAAAGGCUAAUGAAAACGUUGUUUUGCCAUGUCUCACAUAGGACGCGCUUUGGCAGUGUUAAACAGAUCAAUAUAUCCCCAUAAUGACAAAUCAUGUCAUGCUGUCUUAACAAUGACUAAUGACCAUGGCCAAAACAAAAUUAUUACCAAUAACAUUCCAGUAUCAUUGCGAUCCACAAUGCAAUAAAAGUUUUGAUAUUAAGGCCUUCAUUUUAAUAAUAGAACACUGAUAAUAAGAAAAAAAAACAUGUGCUCCAUAAAAUAUAAUUGUUUGAAAAAAUCGUAUCAACCCAAACUUUCUGAACAACUGUGAACUGCUUAGCCCUGUGAUUAACCAGACGAUCCAUAUGGAUACAUGGAAAUGACACUAAAGACCCAAUAUUAAGACGUAAAUUAAAGAAUAACCAAUUUUAUCUCAAUCCAUGUUGUAUGCAAAGACGAUGAAUGACAAAGUGAUUUGACUGAUGAUUCAAUCUGUUAUACCCAAACAUGCUUAAGAAUCCAAGCAUGAGGUUAAUACAAAUUUCAAUAAAAAUAUAUUUCUAAGCACAAGGCAAUACAACCGGAAAAAUAAUUCAAAUAAAAAAAUAUAAUUAAUUCUGUUGAAUUUAAAUUACAUAAAAUAUACAUAAUGCUUGGGCUACAGAUGAAACCUCAGGUUCACUCUUCGUAUGACUUUGGUUGCAUCUGCUUUUGAAAGGGUUUUAACCAGUUGUUCAGGCUGUUUUAGCUGGUUAAAAAUUGUGGUGAUUUUUUGGGGUGGGCAAUUCAAUUUAGAACAUAAGGGGUGUACAGAAAACAAGUGUACCAUUGAAUUCCAUUAUGUGACUCAUCUCCAUACUCCACACACACUAGUGCCUUUUUGAAUGUUUGUUAUUGCAUAUUUUCUUAUGCGCCCUGGGUUUCUGUUUUGUCUUGUCCUGUGUUGUUGUGCUGUGAUCUAUCUAUCUAUCUAUCUAUCUAUCUAUCUAUCUAUCUAUCUAUCUAUCUAUCUAUCUAUCUAUCUAUCUAUCUAUC
ensembl:lncRNA